rnacentral:lncRNA from 9 species
GGGACUGAACCCGCAACCUCAUGGUUUUAGUUGGAUUCAUUAACCACGGCGCCAUGACGGGAACUCCAGCUCUUCCUUCUUGCUUAAGAAGAUCACACUAUUUUUAAGCAAGUUUUAUGGCUUGAUUCAGUUGUAUAAUUUUAUUUCCAUAGGAGUUUGUUUGCUGCAAUGUAAAGGAUUCAGUCAUUCAUUCAACAAAUAUUUAUGUUCAUGUUUAAAGCUCUGUUUCAGACACAGAGCUCUCUUGAGCCUGAGUUAAGGGGGGGAGAGAAUUAAUAAGUGAAUGAUGUGGUGCACCAGAGUGUGCAGUGGAGUAAAAUGAGGCAGUGAAUUCAGAUGCAUGCAUGGGCAGGCAGUGUGAAAAGAGGGUGCUUUUUUUUUUUUUUUUUUUUUCUGCACACAUGGCAUAUGGAAGCUCCCAGGCCAGAGAUCAAACCCAAGCUGCAGUUGCAACCUAUACCACAGCUGGAUGGCAGCAGUGCUGGAUCCUUAAUCCAUUGUACCGGGCCAGGAAUCAAACCCAUGCUGACCAUAGGUUUGUUUUCUAUGCCUGUUUCUGUUUAAUAGAUGGGUUCAUUUGUAUCACAUUUCAGAUUCCACCUAUGAGUAUUAUCAUAUGGUAUUUGUCUUUCUCUGUCUAACUUACUUUCCUUAGUAUGAUAAUCUCUGGAUCCAUCUAUGUUUCUGCAGAUGGCAUUAUUUCAUUCUUUUUUAUGGCUGAAUGGUAUUCUAUUGUAUGUGUGUACCACAUCUUCUUUAUCCAGUUAUCUGUUAAUGGACAUUUAGGUUGCUUCCAUGUCUUGGCCAUUGUAAAUAGUGCUGCUACAGACACUGUUUUUAAAAUCCUCCCCAGGUGCAGCGUGGUUAAGUACAUUUGAUUUAGGGAGUAAAUGUGGUUAGAGAUGAGAAGAAGUCUUAGAGUCUGGGGCAUGCUAAUAUUUAGAGGCCAAGGAGAUAAGGGAGCACCAGCAAAGAGAAGGAGCUCCUUUGAGACAGAAGGAAAAUUAGGAAUGAGGGGUUCUGGAAGCCACAUAAACACUGUAAAAAGGAAGAGGGAGUCAUCAACUGUACCAAGUGCUGUGGGCAGGUCCACUUAAUGAAGACUGAGAAAUGACACUGGCUUUAGCAGUGUGAGGUCAUUGGCGGCUUUCACAAGGGCUGUAUCAGUGGCUCAGGGUGGCGAUAGUUUGAUUGGAAUGGAUUCAAGGAGACAAACUGAAGUGAAUCCUUAUCACUCUUUUGACAAAUUUUUCUAUUAAAGGGAGCAGAGAAGUGGGGAGUUAGAUGAAAGGAGAGAUGAGAGUAGGAGAGUUUUAUUGUUUGAAAACAGGGAAAAGUGACACCACUUUUGAAUUGUAGGGGAGCAGAAUUUGCCACCCCAAAAAUGUCUCUUUGACAGGUGGAUAAUUUGGGGCUGAAAACAGUGAAGGCCCAAAAGAUAGAGGAAGAAACUUUGACCUUCCUCUUAACUGCCUAACAAAAUUAAGUAGAGGGCCUGUCACAGACUAGAGCGGUCACCAGAGAUGUCUGCAGAGAAGAUGGACUAGGUGUGGUGGGGGCAAGGCCUUCAUGUCAGGUCACUCCAUGUCCCAUUGUCUCUGCACGGCCCAGCAAACACUGGUUUACCAAACAUUGGUUUUUCCUUCUUCCUCCCCUUUGAAGUCCUAAACCACUACCCCCAACAUCCUCUUUUGUCUUCAGCUGAAGAUGGUCUUUAAGGCAAAGGCUUAGGCUAUUUUGAUGAGUUACUCGGUUUUCCUGGGUCUCUCCCAUGUAUACUAGUUAUUAAAUUAAAAAAAAAUUCCCUGUUAAUCUGUCUCCUGUCAAUUUAAUUUUUAGAACAGCCAGGAGAACCUAGAAGGGUCCAGGAAAAUUUCUUCCUCCUUAACAGUGUGCUCUUGGAAAUUAUCCAGUAAAGAGGGAAAAUGAUGAUGUAAGGGAAAGAAGGAGGAGUUUGAUAAAAUAAGAAAGUGAAUGUAUAUGUAUGUGUGUGUAACUAGGUCACUUUGCUGUACAGUAAAAAAUUGAAAGUACACUGUAAGCCAACUAUAAUGGGAAAAAUAAAAAUCACUAAAAAAAUUUUAGGACAAAAAAAUCCUUCUGAAUGGAGGAUCACAUUUUUUUUUUAAUAGUUAUUCCCCAAUACAAUUUUUUUCCUACUGUACAGCAUGGGAGGGUCACCCUUGUAUUAGCACUCGCCCUUCACACACUGUAAGGAGUUCUUUUUUUUUUUUUUUUUGUCUUUUUGCUAUUUCUUUGGCCACUCCCACGGCAUAUGGAGAUUCCCAGGCUAGGGGUCUAAUCGGAGCCGCAGCCACCAGCCUACACCAGAGCCACAGCAAUGCAUGAUCCGAGCCACGUCUGCAACCUGCACCACAGCUCACGGCAACGCCGGAUCCUUAACCCACUGAGCAAGGGCAGGGACUGAACCCGCAACCUCAUGGUUCCUAGUCGGAUUUGUUAACCACUGCGCCACGACGGGAACUCCAGGAGUUCUUACUGUAUAUUCCUGUCUUCUUCCUCCCUCAUCCUAACCUCUCCCCAAGGAGUCAUCACUUGACUCCAAUGUCUUUGAUUCAGGCUGGGGAUAGAGAUCUUGGUGGUGACCUCUACAAGGCUCUGUCAUGUUCAGGAAAAUGAUGUCUACUUUUGUUCUGGCCUCUGGAAAUCUCUGGCCUUUCAUAGAGUUGAGUAACGUGUGGUGAGGAGGCCUCAUGAAAAAUAAUGUUUAAAAUAAACUCAUUGUAGGUUAUUUGGGGGUAGCAUCCCAAAGAUUGGGCUGAUGUCUUGGGGGGAAGUCUUGAGUACUGUAAUUUGGAUGACACUUGCCUUCUUUGCAAAAACAUCUUUAAAGUUGAGGUCUUUUCCUUUAUCAGAUAUAUUUUUAUUUUUUUAUUUUUUAUUACUCAAUGAAUUUAUUAUAUUUGUAGUUGUACAAUGAUCAUCACAGUCCAAUUUUAUAGGAUUUCCAUCCCACAACCCCAGCACAUAUAUUUUUAAAUGCUGGAUGUUUUCUGAGACCUGGGUUUUUUGGGGUUUUUUUUUUUUUUUUUUAACAAAGUGAAUCAAGUGAAAAUAGACUACAGACACUGAAGUUUUGAUUGAGGGUAGGCAGUGAGUCAUACAUUCUAGAGGUUAGAAACUCUAAGUAGAUACUUGGACUUGGCUUCUUUGAGUUGCUGGCUGGCCUCACUCCAUUUCAAUGGAAACAGUUGUGGUUAGUCUAAUACUAUAAAGGGACAUUUCUGCAUUUCCUUAAUAACAUAUUUUGGGAAAUAAUUGGUGAAUUUUUGCAAAGUAGAAAUAUGAACCUCCUUAGAUGUUCAGGUAGUUAAACUUAUUCAUCAGGAUCAAAAUUUUUUUUUUUUUUGUCUUUUUAGGGUCGCACCCACAGCAUAUGGAGGUUCCCAGAGUAGGGUGGUCAAAACAGAGCUGUAACCACUGGCCUAUGCCACAGCCACAGCAAUGCUAGAUCCAAGCUGCAUCAGGAUCUAUUUUAACCACCUCAGUGGCAGAAAUAUAGUUAUGAUAAAAACAGUGCUACUCUUUAUUAACAAAUAACAUUGAAAAUGACCUUGUCUGCUCACCAAAUCAGGCGUGUGAUCUGGGGGUCCUCCCCAAUUCCCUUUAUUCUCAUUUUAUUU